GUUUUAAGACAUAAUAUGAAAGCAAUGAGAAGAAGUUUAUAACUGUUUAUGAACGUAUUUCUUUUCACAAUCGUAAAUUACCGUCGUUCUUGGCUUGUGGUGUGCAGCAGCCAAAUCCCGGUUUGGCUGUUGCAUGCCGUAGGCCGAGAACGAUGUAUGCCGCUUUCAUACUUUCACUUCCAUGAUAAUUCUAAUCAUUUUCUUCGUUGUUUGGCUCUUCUCCUUAAUUUUCUUAGAACUCACGGUUACUAAAUUUAUUAAAAAUUUAUGCAAAUAAACACAAAAUCACAUGAAAAGUCACAGAGAGUUAUAAGUUAUUCACUGAAUGAUAGCAACUGGCUUACUGACACUCGUGCGCAGUAGUGGCAUUGUCUCGAGAGAAAAACAAUGGUAACGUGCUGUAUUGUGACUCAUUUUGACUCAUACAAGUUGUAGCAUGCGAGUCGGUCAUAUUCCAAACAAAGAUUGUAUAUCAAGCAAAAUUUUUCGCAUUCAAACAGGACAUAUACCAAGUUGGACUUAUUCGAAAGUGGAUAUAUAUCAAGGUACCACUGUAUAGUUGCACA
rnacentral:lncRNA from 1 species